rnacentral:rRNA from 1 species
UACGUAGGGUGCGAGCGUUGUCCGGAAUUAUUGGGCGUAAAGAGCUCGUAGGCGGUGUGUCGCGUCGGCCGUGAAAACCUGCAGCUUAACUGUGGGCGUGCGGUCGAUACGGGCAUCACUGGAGUUCGGCAGGGGAGACUGGAAUUCCUGGUGUAGCGGUGAAAUGCGCAGAUAUCAGGAGGAACACCGAUGGCGAAGGCGGGUCUCUGGGCCGAUACUGACGCUGAGGAGCGAAAGCGUGGGGAGCAAACAGG